AUUAUGUUUAUGUGUGUAUGUAAGAAAAGCAGUGUGUGUCUGCAUGUGUGUGUAAGGGUUUGCAUUGUGUGUUUCUGUGUAUGUGUGCAAAGGAUGCAAUGUCUUUGUGUGUAAGGGUUGCAUUGUGUGUGUGUGUGUAAUGGAUGCAUUGUGUGUUUCUCUGUGUGUAAGGGAAGCAUGUUGUGUUUCUGUUUAUGUAUAGGGAUGCAUUGUGUGUGUGUGCGCCCCCUGUCCUUUAGAGCUGUC